rnacentral:rRNA from 1 species
AACGGCCGCGGUACCCUAACCGUGCGAAGGUAGCAUAAUCACUUGUUCUUUAAAUGGGGACUUGUAUCAACGGCAUCACGAGGGUUAUACUGUCUCCUUUCUCCAAUCAGUGAAACUGAUCUCCCCGUGAAGAAGCGGGGAUGCUUAUAUAAGACGAGAAGACCCCAUGGAGCUUUAAACCCAAUUGCACCUCGCCCAUAUUACACCCUCUUAACUAGCGAGUCCUGUCUCUUGGUUUUAGGUUGGGGUGACCACGGAGCACAAAAACACCUCCGAGAUGAAUGGGGCUAACCCCCCCCCUUAUCUAAGAGCUACCUCUCUAAGAAUUAGUAUUCUAACAUAAAAUGAUCCGAUUUUCGAUCAACGAACCAAGUUACCCUGGGGAUAACAGCGCAAUCCACUUCAAGAGCCCCUAUCGACAAGUGGGUUUACGACCUCGAUGUUGGAUCAGGGUAUCCCAGCGGUGCAGCAGCUGCUAAAGGUUCGUUUGUUCAACGAUUAAAACCCU